rnacentral:rRNA from 1 species
UUAGAGUUUGAUCCUGGCUCAGGACGAACGCUGGCGGCGUGCCUAAUACAUGCAAGUCGAGCGCAGGAAAUCGACGGAACCCUUCGGGGGNAAGUCGAUGGAAUGAGCGGCGGACGGGUGAGUAACACGUAAAGAACCUGCCCUCAGGUCUGGGAUAACCACGAGAAAUCGGGGCUAAUACCGGAUGGGUCAUCGGACCGCAUGGUCCGAGGAUGAAAGGCGCUUCGGCGUCGCCUGGGGAUGGCUUUGCGGUGCAUUAGCUAGUUGGUGGGGUAAUGGCCCACCAAGGCGACGAUGCAUAGCCGACCUGAGAGGGUGAUCGGCCACACUGGGACUGAGACACGGCCCAGACUCCUACGGGAGGCAGCAGUAGGGAAUCUUCCACAAUGGACGAAAGUCUGAUGGAGCAACGCCGCGUGAACGAUGAAGGCCUUCGGGUCGUAAAGUUCUGUUGUAAGGGAAGAACAAGUGCCGCAGGCAAUGGCGGCACCUUGACGGUACCUUGCGAGAAAGCCACGGCUA